rnacentral:rRNA from 1 species
GAUGAACGCUGGCGGCGUGCCUAAUACAUGCAAGUCGAGCGAACAGACGAGGAGCUUGCUCCUCUGACCUUAGCGGCGGACGGGUGAGUAACACGUGGAUAACCUACCUAUAAGACUGGGAUAACUUCGGGAAACCGGAGCUAAUACCGGAUAAUAUAUUGAACCGCAUGGUUCAAUAGUGAAAGACGGUUUUGCUGUCACUUAUAGAUGGAUCCGCGCCGCAUUAGCUAGUUGGUAAGGUAACGGCUUACCAAGGCAACGAUGCGUAGCCGACCUGAGAGGGUGAUCGGCCACACUGGAACUGAGACACGGUCCAGACUCCUACGGGAGGCAGCAGUAGGGAAUCUUCCGCAAUGGGCGAAAGCCUGACGGAGCAACGCCGCGUGAGUGAUGAAGGUCUUCGGAUCGUAAAACUCUGUUAUUAGGGAAGAACAAAUGUGUAAGUAACUAUGCACGUCUUGACGGUACCUAAUCAGAAAGCCACGGCUAACUACGUG